rnacentral:rRNA from 1 species
CUAAUACAUGCAAGUCGAGCGGACAGAUGGGAGCUUGCUCCCUGAUGUUAGCGGCGGACGGGUGAGUAACACGUGGGUAACCUGCCUGUAAGACUGGGAUAACUCCGGGAAACCGGGGCUAAUACCGGAUGGUUGUUUGAACCGCAUGGUUCAAACAUAAAAGGUGGCUUCGGCUACCACUUACAGAUGGACCCGCGGCGCAUUAGCUAGUUGGUGAGGUAACGGCUCACCAAGGCAACGAUGCGUAGCCGACCUGAGAGGGUGAUCGGCCACACUGGGACUGAGACACGGCCCAGACUCCUACGGGAGGCAGCAGUAGGGAAUCUUCCGCAAUGGACGAAAGUCUGACGGAGCAACGCCGCGUGAGUGAUGAAGGUUUUCGGAUCGUAAAGCUCUGUUGUUAGGGAAGAACAAGUACCGUUCGAAUAGGGCGGUACCUUGACGGUACCUAACCAGAAAGCCACGGCUAACUACGUGCCAGCAGCCGCGGUAAUACGUAGGUGGCAAGCGUUGUCCGGAAUUAUUGGGCGUAAAGGGCUCGCAGGCGGUUUCUUAAGUCUGAUGUGAAAGCCCCCGGCUCAACCGGGGAGGGUCAUUGGAAACUGGGGAACUUGAGUGCAGAAGAGGAGAGUGGAAUUCCACGUGUAGCGGUGAAAUGCGUAGAGAUGUGGAGGAACACCAGUGGCGAAGGCGACUCUCUGGUCUGUAACUGACGCUGAGGAGCGAAAGCGUGGGGAGCGAACAGGAUUAGAUACCC